rnacentral:lncRNA from 1 species
UAGGAGUACUGUUGUGUUGUUAGAAGCAUGGGGAUCUCUGUGCUCCUAAGUCAUUUUCGAUGAUAAAAUUUUUUAAUCAAUAAUCCGCUCUAUUAGGCUUGAUCUAGUAUAUUUGAAGUAUUUAAAAAAUAAAUUUCGCGAUUUUCCGAUAUCAUUUACCUAGCAAUAAAAAUGGUUCAAAAUUAAUUAUUUUUAAUGGUUGAUAUCUGUCUUUUUCAUGUUUAACAGUGUAGAAGUAUUCAAAUCAGAUAAAAUUUUGAUAUAAAAUUUUUAUACUAUCUACGACAAAAUCAAUAUCUCUAAUCGAAAAUUUUGAUACUAUAUCACUACUUCUUAUGAUAUUUUUAUUUUCAACUGUUAAUUUUAAACCAUUUCGAUCACUAGAUAAAUGCUAUAGAAAAAUCGCAAAAUUUAUUUUCUAAAUACUUCAAAUAUAAUAGAUCAAGUCUAACGGAGCGGAUUGUUGAUUUGAAAAUUCCAUCAUAAAAAUAACUUACGAGAACAAGCACAAUAGCCCUACUUUCUCUCUCUCUCUCUCUCUCUCUCUCUAUAUAUAUAUAUGAUUUUUU